rnacentral:rRNA from 1 species
UCCCAGACUCCUACGGGAGGCAGCAGUGGGGAAUAUUGCACAAUGGGGGAAACCCUGAUACAGCGACGCCGCGUGAGCGAUGAAGUAUUUCGGUAUGUAAAGCUCUAUCAGCAGGGAAGAAAAUGACGGUACCUGACUAAGAAGCCCCGGCUAACUACGUGCCAGCAGCCGCGGUAAUACGUGGGGGGCAAGCGUUAUCCGGAUUUACUGGGUGUAAAGGGAGCGUAGACGGCAAUGCAAGCCAGAUGUGAAAGCCCGGGGCUCAACCCCGGGACUGCAUUUGGAACUGUGUAGCUGGAGUGUCGGAGAGGCAGGCGGAAUUCCUAGUGUAGCGGUGAAAUGCGUAGAUAUUAGGAGGAACACCAGUGGCGAAGGCGGCCUGCUGGACGGUGACUGACGCUGAGGCUCGAAAGCGUGGGGAGCAAACAGGAUUAGAUACCCCAGUA